AAUCUAACCGUCGGAGAUCGCAGCUACAGUUUCUGCACUACAGUAGACGAUGAGCGCUGCUCUACAGCGGACAUUCGCGCUCAAAACGAUUCUAAGGAAGCAAGAACAGCACGAAGGGACGGUCAAAGAAGGGCCCAAGACUGUCAAUCAGCUGCCGAAGGAAUUGUCUAUGGUCCAGGGAUCGCUGAUUAAAGAUGUACCAUAACCGAGUUCCAGGUGGGACAAGGACCGCGCAUAUCGUGUGGAGGACCCCCGCGGCAACUAACGUCACGGCGUCAUUUUUAAAUAUUUUCCAAUAAAAUUUUAUGAUGUUACUCUUGAAACUCUUUAUGAUAAUGACCUAAAUAAUAAAAAUAUUCCGACCGAUA